CGCGUGGCGAAGGCGGCCCCCUGGACAGAUACUGACACUCAGAUGCGAAAGCGUGGGGAGCAAACAGGAUUAGAUACCCUGGUAGUCCACGCCGUAAACGAUGUCUACUGUGAGGUUGUGGCCUUGAGCCGUGGCUUUCGGAGCUAACGCGUUAAGUAGACCGCCUGGGGAGUACGGUCGCAAGAUUAAAACUCAAAUGAAUUGACGGGGGCCCGCACAAGCGGUGGAGCAUGUGGUUUAUAUCGAUGCAACGCGAAGAACCUUACCUACUCUUGACAUCCAGAGAACUUUCCAGAGAUGGAUUGGUGCCUUCGGGAACUCUGAGACAGGUGCUGCAUGGCUGUCGUCAGCUCGUGUUGUGAAAUGUUGGGUUAAGUCCCGCAACGAGCGCAACCCUUAUCCUUGAAAGCCAGCGAGUAA
rnacentral:rRNA from 1 species